rnacentral:rRNA from 1 species
CCUACGGGAGGCAGCAGUGAGGAAUAUUGGUCAAUGGACGAGAGUCUGAACCAGCCAAGUAGCGUGAAGGAUGACUGCCCUCUGGGUUGUAAACUUCUUUUAUAUGGGAAUAAAAUGUUCCACGUGUGGGAUUUUGUAUGUACCAUAUGAAUAAGGAUCGGCUAACUCCGUGCCAGCAGCCGCGGUAAUACGGAGGAUCCGAGCGUUAUCCGGAUUUAUUGGGUGUAAAGGGAGCGUAGGUGGAUUGUUAAGUCAGUUGUGAAAGGUUGCGGCUCAACCGUAAAAUUGCAGUUGAAACUGGCAGUCUUGAGUACAGUAGAGGUGGGCGGAAUUCGUGGUGUAGCGGUGAAAUGCUUAGAUAUCACGAAGAACUCCGAUUGCGAAGGCAGCUCACUGGACUGCAACUGACACUGAGGCUCGAAAGUGUGGGUAUCAAACAGGAUUAGAUACCCCGGUAGUC